UGACACUUCUGCUCAAUAUACUGCAGACAGAGUGUUCAAAUCAGCCACUAAUCAGCUCCUUUCCUCUCCUUUGUUUCAGUCCUCUUCUUUCAACGGAGCUGAAUUGUCCCAUUUUGUGGAAAGCAACAUCUAAAGCAAGUUUCUUUCCAAUAUUUUUUUUAGAGCUUGGAAUGUAUGACAUCUGGAUGACAUCUUCGCAUCUUGCUGUUUGAGGAAGUUGCACAACAUUCUCAGAGACUCUUCCCAUCCUGCUUACAAUCUUUUUGGACUGUUGCCUCCUGGCAGAAGAUACAGAACAAUUAAAACUCGGACCACA